AUUGAACGCUGGCGGCAGGCCUAACACAUGCAAGUCGAACGAGUGGCGGACGGGUGAGUAAUGUCUGGGAAACUGCCCGAUGGAGGGGGAUAACUACUGGAAACGGUAGCUAAUACCGCAUACCAUCGGAUGUGCCCAGAUGGGAGUAGCUAGUAGGUGGGGUAAGGGCUCACCUAGUCGACGAUCCAUAGCUGGUCUGAGAGGAUGACCAGGCACACUGGAACUGGGACACGGUCCAGAGUCCUACGGGAGGCAGCAGUGGGGAAUAUUGCACAAUGGGCGAAAGCCUGAUUCAGCCAUGCCGCGUGUAUGAAGAAGGCCUUCGGGUUGUAAAGUACUUUAAGCGAGGAGGCGUUACUCGCAGAAGAAGCACCGGCUAACUCCGUGCCAGCAGCCGCGGUAAUAC
rnacentral:rRNA from 1 species